rnacentral:rRNA from 1 species
AUGGGGACCUGUAUGAAUGGCAUAACGAGGGCUUGACUGUCUCCUCUUUCAAGUCAAUGAAAUUGAUCUCCCCGUGCAGAAGCGGGGAUAAAUACAUAAGACGAGAAGACCCUAUGGAGCUUUAGACACUAAAGCAGAUCAGCAUUAAUACCCUAAAUACAGGGCACGAAUAAACUGAACACCGCCCUAAUGUC